GACGAACGCUGGCGGCGUGCCUAAUACAUGCAAGUAGAACGCUGAAGGAGGAGCUUGCUUCUCUGGAUGAGUUGCGAACGGGUGAGUAACGCGUAGGUAACCUGCCUGGUAGCGGGGGAUAACUAUUGGAAACGAUAGCUAAUACCGCAUAAUAGCAGUUAUUGCAUGAUAACUGUUUGAAAGGUGCAAUUGCACCACUACCAGAUGGACCUGCGUUGUAUUAGCUAGUUGGUGGGGUAACGGCUCACCAAGGCGACGAUGCAUAGCCGACCUGAGAGGGUGAUCGGCCACACUGGGACUGAGACACGGCCCAGACUCCUACGGGAGGCAGCAGUAGGGAAUCUUCGGCAAUGGACGGAAGUCUGACCGAGCAACGCCGCGUGAGUGAAGAAGGUUUUCGGAUCGUAAAGCUCUGUUGUAAGAGAAGAACGAGUGUGAGAGUGGAAAGUUCACACUGUGACGGUAUCUUACCAGAAAGGGACGGCUAACUACGUG
rnacentral:rRNA from 1 species